rnacentral:rRNA from 1 species
UACGGGGGGAGCAAGCGUUGUUCGGAUUUACUGGGCGUAAAGGGCGGGUAGGCGGCCACCGCAGUUCAGUUGUGAAAUCUCUGGGCUUAACCCAGAAAGGUCAACUGAUACUGCGGGGCUAGAGUGCAGAAGGGGCAACUGGAAUUCUCGGUGUAGCGGUGAAAUGCGUAGAUAUCGAGAGGAACACCUGCGGCGAAGGCGGGUUGCUGGGCUGACACUGACGCUGAACUGCGAAAGCUAGGGGAGCGAACGGG